rnacentral:rRNA from 1 species
AUGAACGCUGGCGGCGUGCCUAAUACAUGCAAGUCGAGCGAACGGACGAGAAGCUUGCUUCUCUGAUGUUAGCGGCGGACGGGUGAGUAACACGUGGAUAACCUACCUAUAAGACUGGGAUAACUUCGGGAAACCGGAGCUAAUACCGGAUAAUAUUUUGAACCGCAUGGUCCAAAAGUGAAAGACGGUCUUGCUGUCACUUAUAGAUGGAUCCGCGCUGCAUUAGCUAGUUGGUAAGGUAACGGCUUACCAAGGCAACGAUGCAUAGCCGACCUGAGAGGGUGAUCGGCCACACUGGAACUGAGACACGGUCCAGACUCCUACGGGAGGCAGCAGUAGGGAAUCUUCCGCAAUGGGCGAAAGCCUGACGGAGCAACGCCGCGUGAGUGAUGAAGGUCUUCGGAUCGUAAAACUCUGUUAUUAGGGAAGAACAUAUGUGUAAGUAACUGUGCACAUCUUGACGGUACCUAAUCAGAAAGCCACGGCUAACUACGUG